rnacentral:lncRNA from 1 species
AUGUUUGCAGAGGUGCAGGACUAAGUUUCCUUGGAAACGGUGGCUGCUCUUCCCUUGGCCUGGGAAGCAUACUCCCUUCUCUUCUGGCCUAAAAUCUUUCACAGAAAACAUUGUUCAUAUUCAUUAUGUCUCCCCACCCUACCCAUACCCCCUAGGUGACUGCUUUGCUUCCUCCCUGAGCCCACCAGCCUUGGCAGCUUGCCACUGAUUGGAGAGUGUGAGUCUGUGAUCUGAGUUUGAUGUGAAGUCUGGCCACUCCACUGCAGGCAGAACUGAGGCUACAUGCUUGUGAAUGAUGAAGUACAUUGAGAAGAAACUCCUGCCUUCCCCUUAUCGAUAGGAAAUCUAGGCAAUGGUUCAUCCUGGAACAUCGAAUACUAGUGUCUUCCUGAUCAAUGAGCUGUUGAAUGAUGGAAAAGGCAUUGCAUUAAAUGCUUGGGAUACAAAGCAAAAGGAGAAAACAGUUCCUGACCUCAAGAAGCUUAUGUUCUAUUGGGGGAGUCAAAAUAUAAAUAAAAAGAUGAGGAAACUUGAGGUGAAGAAAGGUCAGAAUUUGCCCAGAAUCACACAGCUGACAAGUGUUGGUGACUAUAUUUGAAUUUAUGUUUUCCUGUCUCCAAGUCUAGUGUUCUUGGGCACUACAUUGCCUUCCUUCCUUCCUUCCUUCCUUCCUUCCUUCCUUCCUUCCUUCCUUCCUUCCUUCCUUCCUUCCUUCCUUCCUUCCUUCCUUCCUUCCUUCCUUCCUUCCUUCCUUCCUUCCUUCCUUCCUUCCUUCCUUCCUUCCAUCCUUUCUUUCACACUACACUACAGUCUUGGGAAAAUUGCCUUUCUUCUGUAGGGAGUCCUGAUCUCCCUUAUAGAAUGGAGGGGUGAUGAUUAUAUGAUCUCUAAAUUGGAGUAAUUAUUCAAAUUAUGUCAUCUACAGGCUCCUUGGGAUCCUGAUGUUUAAUGACCACAGCUAAAAGAUGCAGUUAACAGACACAUCAGCCAUUCCACCCUCCAAGCAUUUGAGAGGCCAUCUGCACACACACCACCAAGCCUUCUGCCACCAGGAAGUGGUCACUUCCUCCUUUGCUGCAGAGUAUCCUCAUGGUAAGUGGCCCGCAUUCAGGAUUCAUACUCAAUGCACAAUUUAUGCUCCCACACUCUAAUUGGGAAUUAUGUGAAGUCACCAUGCUAUAAGCUUUUUGUGUCUGAGUGAAACUCUCAAGCUGCCAGUUCUUCAAUGAAUAAAAAUGAACUGUUUACUUCA